rnacentral:rRNA from 1 species
AACGUAGGUGGCGAGCGUUAUCCGGAUUUACUGGGCGUAAAGGGUGUGCAGGCGGGCCAUUAAGUGGUGUAUGAAAUAUCCCGCUCAACCGGGAGAGGUUAUGCCAGACUGGUGGUCUAGAGAGCGAGAGAGGGACGUGGAAUUCCGGGUGUAGUGGUGAAAUGCGUAGAGAUCCGGAAGAACCACGGUGGCGAAGGCGG